GCAUUACAUUUAAGCUCAGUCGGUAGAGCAUGAGAUUUAAUCUCAGGGUUGUGAGUUUGAGGCUCAUGUAGGGCA